rnacentral:rRNA from 1 species
UGGGGAAUAUUGGACAAUGGGCGAAAGCCUGAUCCAGCCAUGCCGCGUGUGUGAAGAAGGUCUUCGGAUUGUAAAGCACUUUAAGUUGGGAGGAAGGGCAUUAACCUAAUACGUUAGUGUUUUGACGUUACCGACAGAAUAAGCACCGGCUAACUCUGUGCCAGCAGCCGCGGUAAUACAGAGGGUGCACGCGUUAAUCGGAAUUACUGGGCGUAAAGCGCGCGUAGGUGGUUUGUUAAGUUGGAUGUGAAAUCCCCGGGCUCAACCUGGGAACUGCAUUCAAAACUGACUGACUAGAGUAUGGUAGAGGGUGGUGGGAUUUCCUGUGUAGCGGUGAUAUGCGUAGAUAUAGGAAGGAACACCAGUGGCGAAGGCGACCACCUGGACUAAUACUGACACUGAGGUGCGAAAGCGUGGGGAGCAAACA